AUUGAACGCUGGCGGCAUGCCUAACACAUGCAAGUCGAACGGCAGCAUGAUACUAGCUUGCUAGUAUUGAUGGCGAGUGGCGAACGGGUGAGUAACGCGUAGGAAUAUAUCCUGAAGAGGGGACAACUUGGGGAAACUCAAGCUAAUACCGCAUAACCUCUUAGGAGUAAAGCUGGGGACCGCAAGGCCUGGCGCUUCAGGGGUAGCCUGCGUCUGAUUAGCUAGUUGGUGGGGUAAAGGCCUACCAAGGCGAUGAUCGGUAGCUGGUCUGAGAGGAUGAACAGCCACACUAGGACUGAGACACGGCCCAGACUCCUACGGGAGGCAGCAGUGGGGAAUAUUGGACAAUGGGGGGAACCCUGAUCCAGCAAUGCCGCGUGUGUGAAGAAGGCCUGCGGGUUGUAAAGCACUUUCAGUGGGGAGGAGGGUUGAUAUGUUAAGAGCUAAUUGACUGGACGUUACCCACAGAAGAAGCACCGGCUAACUCCGUG
rnacentral:rRNA from 1 species